rnacentral:rRNA from 1 species
AGCGAAUAGAUACCCGGGUAGUCCCAGCCGUAAACGAUGCUCGCUAGGUGUCAGGCAUGGCGCGACCGUGUCUGGUGCCGCAGGGGAAGCCGUGAAGCGAGCCACCUGGGAAGUACGGCCGCAAGGCUGAAAACUUAAAGGAAUUGGCGGGGAGCACAACAACGGGUGGAGCCUGCGGUUUAAUUGGACUCAACGCCGGACAACUCACCGGGGGCGGACAGCAAUAUGUAGGCCAAGCUGAAGACUUUGCCUGAAUCGCUGAGAGGAGGUGCAUGGCCGUCGCCAGUUCGUACUGUGAAGCAUCCUGUUAAGUCAGGCAACGAGCGAGACCCGUGCCCACUGUUACCAGCAUGUCCUCCGGGACGAUGGGUACUCUGUGGGGACCGCCUAUGUUAAACUAGGAGGAAGGUGCGGGCCACGGUAGGUCAGUAUGCCCCGGAAUCUCCCGGGGUCUACACGCGGGCUACAAUGGAUGGGACAAUGGUCCCUACUCCGAAGGAGCUGGUAAUCUCACAAACCCGAUUCGUAGUUCGGAUCGAGGGCU